rnacentral:rRNA from 1 species
GAGAGUUUGAUCAUGGCUCAGAUUGAACGCUGGCGGCAGGCCUAACACAUGCAAGUCGAGCGCGAAAGUCUUCGGAUGAGUAAAGCGGCGAACGGGUGAGUAAUGCAUGGGAAUCUGCCUGGUAGUGGGGGACAACGUCUCGAAAGGGACGCUAAUACCGCAUACGCCCUACGGGGGAAAGGGGGGGAUCUUCGGACCUCUCGCUAUCAGAUGAGCCCAUGUCAGAUUAGCUAGUUGGUGAGGUAAAGGCUCACCAAGGCGACGAUCUGUAACUGGUCUGAGAGGAUGAUCAGUCACACUGGAACUGAGACACGGUCCAGACUCCUACGGGAGGCAGCAGUGGGGAAUAUUGGACAAUGGGGGCAACCCUGAUCCAGCCAUGCCGCGUGUGUGAAGAAGGCCCUAGGGUUGUAAAGCACUUUCAGUGGGGAGAAAGGUUAUUCACCUAAUACGUGAGUAGAUUGAUGUUACCCACAGAAGAAGCACCGGCUAACUCCGUG